rnacentral:rRNA from 1 species
AUUGAACGCUGGCGGCAUGCCUUACACAUGCAAGUCGAACGGUAGAGGGGCAACCCUCGAGAGUGGCGAACGGGUGAGUAAUGCAUCGGAACGUGCCCAGUAGUGGGGGAUAGCCCGGCGAAAGCCGGAUUAAUACCGCAUACGACCUACGGGGGAAAGGGGGGGAUCGCAAGACCUCUCGCUAUUGGAGCGGCCGAUGUCAGAUUAGGUAGUUGGUGGGGUAAAGGCCUACCAAGCCGACGAUCUGUAGCUGGUCUGAGAGGACGACCAGCCACACUGGGACUGAGACACGGCGCAGACUCCUACGGGAGGCAGCAGUGGGGAAUUUUGGACAAUGGGCGAAAGCCUGAUCCAGCCAUGCCGCGUGCGGGAAGAAGGCCUUCGGGUUGUAAACCGCUUUUGUCAGGGAAGAAAUCCUUUGGGCUAAUACCCUGGGGGGAUGACGGUACCUGAAGAAUAAGCACCGGCUAACUACGUGCCAGCCGCCGCGGUAAUAC